rnacentral:rRNA from 1 species
UGGACCAGCAACUUGGGAGGAAUGUAUACAAUAGCUAAUUGUAAAAAAAAAAAUAGUUUUACAAUAUCGAGUAUAUCGAAUAAAAUUCUAGGUAGAUUUAUGAUAAUGACAUUGUCUAUCUAUGUGUCUUGACCAAAUUGCGUGCCAGCAGUCGCGGCAAUACGCAGAAGACUAGUGUUAUUCAUCUUUAAUUGGUUUAAAGCGUACCUAGACGGUAAUUAUAGCCUAAAUAAGGUACUUUUUUACUAGAGUUAUAUGUGAAAGUGUAUUAAAGUACUGUUGAGUUUAGAGAUGAAAUUCUUUGACACCAGAUAAUUGGCACAGGUAAAGGCGAAAGCAUCACUUUAUGUAAUAACUGACGUUGAGGAACGAAGGCUAUGUGUCGCGAACAGGAUUAGAUACCCCAGUAGUCUUAGCAGAAAAUUAUGAGUGUCAUAGAUUAGAUUUGAUUUGGUCUAUAAAUGAAAGUGUAAGCAUUCCACCUCAAGAGUAAUUUGGCAACAUUGGAACUGAAAUCAUUAGACCGUUUCUGAAACCAGUAGUGAAGUAUGUUGUUUAAUUUGAUAACCCGCAAAAAACCUUACCACAACUUGAAUAUAAAUCAUGUAUUUUUACAAGCGUUGCACGGCUGUCUUCAGUUAAUGUCGUGAGAUAUGGUUUGUUCCAUUUAAUUAACGUAAACCCUAGCUCUUUUUUUUAUAGAGUUGUUCACCGCUAUAUUGGAAAUGUUAAAAGGGACUAAGACAAGUCAUCAUGGCCUUAAUGUUGUGGGCUAUAGACGUGCCACAUA